rnacentral:rRNA from 1 species
GACGAACGCUGGCGGCGUGCUUAACACAUGCAAGUCGAACGGUGAAAGAAGAGCUUGCUCUUCUGGAUCAGUGGCGAACGGGUGAGUAACACGUGAGUAACCUGCCCCAGACUCUGGAAUAAGCGCUGGAAACGGCGUCUAAUACCGGAUACGAGACAGAGUUGCAUGGCUACUGUCUGGAAAGUUUUUCGGUCUGGGAUGGACUCGCGGCCUAUCAGCUUGUUGGUGAGGUAACGGCUCACCAAGGCAACGACGGGUAGCCGGCCUGAGAGGGCGACCGGCCACACUGGGACUGAGACACGGCCCAGACUCCUACGGGAGGCAGCAGUGGGGAAUAUUGCACAAUGGGCGAAAGCCUGAUGCAGCGACGCCGCGUGAGGGAUGACGGCCUUCGGGUUGUAAACCUCUUUCAGCAGGGAAGAAGCGAAAGUGACGGUACCUGCAGAAGAAGCACCGGCUAACUACGUG